rnacentral:rRNA from 1 species
GUACGGAGGGUGCCAGCGUUAUUCGGAAUCAUUGGGUGUAAAGCGCGUGUAGGCGGUCUGGAAAGUCAGAUGUGAAAGCUUCGGGCUUAACCCGGAAAGUGCAUUUGAAACUCCCAGACUUGAGUGCCGGAGAGGAAGGUGGAAUUCCCAGUGUAGAGGUGAAAUUCGUAGAUAUUGGGAGGAACACCGGUGGCGAAGGCGACCUUCUGGACGGACACUGACGCUGAGACGCGAAAGCGUGGGGAGCAAACAGGAUUAGAUACCCUGGUAGUCCACGCUGUAAACGAUGGGUACUAGGUGUAGGGGGUAUUGACCCCCCCUGUGCCGAAGCUAACGCAUUAAGUACCCCACCUGGGGACUACGGCCGCAAGGUUAAA